GCUUGCAGGGUACUCGAGUGGCGAACGGGUGAGUAACACGUGGGUGAUCUGCCCUGCACUUCGGGAUAAGCCUGGGAAACUGGGUCUAAUACCGGAUAGGAGCCAUUUUUAGUGUGAUGGUUGGAAAGUUUUUUCGGUGUAGGAUGAGCUCGCGGCCUAUCAGCUUGUUGGUGGGGUAAUGGCCUACCAAGGCGGCGACGGGUAGCCGGCCUGAGAGGGUGGACGGCCACAUUGGGACUGAGAUACGGCCCAGACUCCUACGGGAGGCAGCAGUGGGGAAUAUUGCACAAUGGGCGCAAGCCUGAUGCAGCGACGCCGCGUGGGGGAUGACGGCCUUCGGGUUGUAAACUCCUUUCGCUAGGGACGAAGCUUUUUGUGACGGUACCUAGAUAAGAAGCACCGGCUAACUACGUGCCAGCAGCCGCGGUAAUACGUAGGGUGCGAGCGUUGUCCGGAAUUACUGGGCGUAAAGGGCUCGUAGGUGGUUUGUCGCGUCGUCUGUGAAAUUCCGGGGCUUAACUCCGGGCGUGCAGGCGAUACGGGCAUAACUUGAGUACUGUAGGGGUAACUGGAAUUCCUGGUGUAGCGGUGAAAUGCGCAGAUAUCAGGAGGAACACCGAUGGCGAAGGCAGGUUACUGGGCAGUUACUGACGCUGAGGAGCGAAAGCAUGGGUAGCGAACAGGAUUAGAUACCCUGGUAGUCCAUGCCGUAAACGGUGGGCGCUAGGUGUGAGGGUCUUUUCACGACUUUCGUGCCGUAGCUAACGCAUUAAGCGCCCCGCCUGGGGAGUACGCCGCAAGGCUA
rnacentral:rRNA from 1 species